rfam:Nicotiana sylvestris Nsyl_contig17664, whole genome shotgun sequence.
GCCUUCUUAGCUCAGUGGUAGAGCACAUGGUUUUUAACCACGUGGUCGUUGGUUUGAUCCCCACAGACGACG